UAGAGCCGGAUGCUGCGAGAGUAGCUUGUCCGGCUCGAUGGGGGCUAUUUGGAGUAGUCCUCGUGCCUUUGUUUGGUACGAGCGUAAUCCCAAAUUUCUACCCAAU
rnacentral:ncRNA from 1 species